rnacentral:rRNA from 1 species
UACGAGAGGCCCGAACGUUAUUCAGAAUUACUGGGCUUAAAGAGUUCGUAGGCGGCGCAGAAAGUAGGGUGUGAAAGCCCUCGGCUUAACCGAGGAAUUGCGCUCUAAACUACUGUGCUUGAGGAAUCUAGAGGUGAGCGGAACUGAUGGUGGAGCGGUGAAAUGCGUUGAUAUCAUCAGGAACACCGGAGGCGAAGGCGGCUCACUGGGGAUUUUCUGACGCUGAGGAACGAAAGCCAGGGGAGCGAACGGG